rnacentral:misc_RNA from 1 species
UUUCCGUAGGUGAACCUGCGGAAGGAUCAUUCAUAAUAAGUGUUUUAUGGCACUUUUUAAAUCCAUAUCCACCUUGUGUGCAAUGUCAGGGUUGAUUUUUCUCUCGAGAGGAUCGGCCCCAAACAUCAACUAUAUCUCAACUCUUUGUCUGAAAAAUAUUAUGAAUAAAACAAUUCAAAAUACAACUUUCAACAACGGAUCUCUUGGCUCUC